GAAAGGCUGCAAAAUCUAAAAAUACUUCAAAUGCUGCAAAAUUGUUGAAAGAUCUCCUUAAUCCUUUUGAAAUGCAAACGAUCGGAUUGGUGGCACGUUGUUAAGAAGUUUUGCCUUAAACUGAAAAUAACAUACGAGCUAAUUUACGAGCUUUUCGCCGACAGCCAAAACACGACGUAAAAAUUCCUUGGAAAAUCUAUGAAAUGGUGCCC